rnacentral:lncRNA from 1 species
ACAGCAUGGUGACCCAGUUACACAUACAUGUAUACAUUCUUUUUUCUCACGUUAUCAUGUUCCAUCAUAAGUGACUAGACAUAGUUCCCAGUGCUAUCCAGCAAGAUCUCACUGCUGAUCCAUUCCAAAGGCAAUCAUUUGCAUCUAUCAACCCCAAACUCCCGAUCCACCCCACUCGCUCCCCCUCGGCAACCACAAGUCUAUUCUCCAAAUCCAUGAGCUUCUUUUAUGUGGAAAGAUUCAUUUGAGCCAUAUAUUAAAUUCCAGAUGUAAGUGAUAUCAUAUGGUAUUUGUCUUUCUCUUUCUGACUUACUUCAUUCAGGGUAUUUCUAUGUCCACGGACAUGCUGACUAUACUAUUAUGGCCAGAUUCUACCAAGGGAAUGAAAUUAGCACAUUAUAGAUAAGCUAGAUGUCCUCCUGGUUCUCCAUGUGUACCUUCCUCAUAGCACUGCCAAUAGUUCUCCCAGAAAAGAUGCAGUUUUGUCUUCUGGAAAAAAAAAAUCUUUCCUCAAGGCUAUACUUUGCUUUUGGCCUUGUUUUUAAAGGCCACACAAAGCACAUUCUGGGGUUCCACAUGGUAGCGUUAUGGUACCUCCAGCCUCCUCUCUGCUGUUUUUCUGCAACGUCUCCUCUUCUCUAAGGUAAACACCUUCUGUGCUUUGAGCCAGCCCGUCUGUGCCUUUCCUGCAUGUAGUCAUCCUUCUCUGGCACUGCUUCAGUUUGCCCACAUCUCCCCAAAACACAAAGAAUGUUGCUAGUGAGGUCUAACCAGCCAAAGUACAUGUACUGGCUUAUUACCACACCCGAAGACUGAUUUUUUUUUUUUCUUAUUCUUUUUUUAUGGCCAAAUCCGAGUCAUAUGAAAGUUCCCAUGCUAGGGGUUGUAUUGGAGCUGCAGCUAUAGGCCUACACCACAGCCACAACAACACUGGAUCUGAGCUGCACCUGCGACCUACACCACAGCUUGUGGCAAUGCCCGAUCUGUAACCUACUGAACGUGGCCAGGGAUCAAACCUGUACCCUCAUGGACACGAUGUUAGGUUCUUACCCACCGAGCCACAAUGGGAACUCCCCCAAAGACUGCUUUUUGAAACCAGUUUCACGGAUCUUCUGGCUUAUGCUAUUUAAUAUUCUACUAAGUCAGCACACACUUCAAACUCCAAAGAAGAGAAAGAUAGAUAGGAGGAAAGGAAAGUAGAGGGAAGUUAAGUACUGGACGAAGGAAGAAGGUUGCAGAGAUGGAACUAUUUCCAGGAAAGGCUGUGGAUUCCCUGGAUCCAAGUGUCCUCCUAUCUAAGUAGAACAUGCUUAGAAGUAAAAUUUAGUAAAAGCAAUCCCCUCCAAACACGUUCUCUUACUUUGCCUGAAAGCUUGUCAUUUGAAGAUUUAUUGGAGUUAAUAAGGAAAAACAAAACAUAAAUAAAACGCAAACACAAACCAACCAGAAAACCCACCCACAAUAACAUGGAUUACCAGAUAAUCGCACACCUCAUGAGUUUUAAACAGAAAGCAAUUUGGUUUAGCAAAUGACAACAAGUUUUGAUGUUGAUAAGUUUCUUACUGGGAAUCUAGGGAUGGUUGGUGGGGAGGGGGAGAAAAUAAAAAUCCACCCUGGAGGAUGGAUAGGAGAACCCUGCCUCCCGAAAUAAAAAUCAGUGCUCAGGGAUGGACAGAGAGCAGAAGAUUCAGAACUGGCACAGUGGCCAAACGCUUGAGACACAUGGAGCCCUUGAGUACUCUGCUGGUUGGGAGGCUUGGAAGAAACGUCACCAUGGAUGCCAAGGGGCGACCACUGGGCAGCAGGAGGGCUGCAGAGAGUGGUUUCUGAAGGCAAGUUCACCUUCGUGGCCCUUCAACCCAGGACCGGUUAAGCAGUGCUUUCAUCUUCCCUGAACCCAAGUGCAGAUGUGACUUAUUACACACGGACAUGGACACAUCCAGUUUUUCUCAGCAUCUCCGGGGCCUCACCCAAUGUCUAGUAGCGAUCCAUCAAGAAUCAGUGAUGCUGGACAGUCUCCCCACCAAAUGCCCGGACUGCAAAAUGCCACCACUCGAAGGGGAGGUGAGGGGCUUGGCUGGCAGGCUCUCCAGGACAUGCUGGCUCUCAGGGGUCCUCAUGGGACUAGAGAGGGGAGGAGCAGAGCAAGGUCCCAUUUAAAGAGAAC